GUGUCAGCCGCCGCGGUAAUACAGAGGGUGCGAGCGUUAAUCGGAUUUACUGGGCGUAAAGCGUGCGUAGGCGGCUUAUUAAGUCGGAUGUGAAAUCCCCGAGCUUAACUUGGGAAUUGCAUUCGAUACUGGUGAGCUAGAGUAUGGGAGAGGAUGGUAGAAUUCCAGGUGUAGCGGUGAAAUGCGUAGAGAUCUGGAGGAAUACCGAUGGCGAAGGCAGCCAUCUGGCCUAAUACUGACGCUGGGGUACGAAAGCAUGGGGAGCAAACAGGAUUAGAUACCCCUGUAGUCC
rnacentral:rRNA from 1 species